AUGGUCAGUGCCCAGAGGCUUGCCCAACUGGCAAAGAAGUGGCAGAAGAUGGUGGCUAUUGGGAGGAAGAGGAUCACCCAGACUACAACGGCGAAAAGAGCCGCCGCCGAGUGCCGCGCGGUGACCUCAGUAGCGGUGAAGGGGCACUGCAUGGUAUACACCUCGGAUGGCAGCCGGUUUGAGGUGCCACUGGAGUACCUCAGCACAGUGGUCUUCAGUGAGCUCCUGAGGAUGUCUCAGGAGGAGUUUGGAUUCGCGGGCGGACAAGAAGGUCGCAUCACGCUGCCCUGCGACACUGCAGACAUGGAAUACGCCAUGUGUUUGCUCAGGAGAGAUGCCUCCACGGAAGUAGUGAUGGCGUUCCUGAGCUCCAAUGCAAGACCGUGCUGCUUUGAUGAUGGUGUGGUGCCAUGCAUAGGGCUUAACCAUUAUGUAGGUGUUUGUUAG
rnacentral:rRNA from 1 species